rnacentral:rRNA from 1 species
UACAGAGGUCCCGAGCGUUGUUCGGAUUCACUGGGCGUAAAGGGUGCGCAGGUGGUUUGGCAAGUUUGAUGUGAAAGCCCCGGGCUUAACCCGGGAAUGGCAUUGAAUACUGCUUGAACUGGAGGGUUGGAGGGGGGACUGGAAUUCUUGGUGUAGCAGUGAAAUGCGUAGAUAUCAAGAGGAACACCAGUGGCGAAGGCGAGUCCCUGGACAAACCCUGACACUGAGGCACGAAAGCCGAGGGAGCAAACAGG